AACGAACGCUGGCGGCGUGCUUAACACAUGCAAGUCGAACGAGAAAGAUUUCUUCGGAAAUUGAGUAGAGUGGCGCACGGGUGAGUAACGCGUAGGUAAUCUACCCUAAUAUUUGGGAUAACAUUGGGAAACUGGUGCUAAUACCGAAUACCCUUCUUUUCUGUCGGGUUAAGGAGGAAAGGUGGCCUCUUCAUGAAAGCUACCGUAUAAGGAUGAGCCUGCGUACCAUUAGCUAGUAGGUGGGGUAAAGGCCCACCUAGGCUACGAUGGUUAGCGGGUCUGAGAGGAUGAUCCGCCACACUGGAACUGGAACACGGACCAGACUCCUACGGGAGGCAGCAGUGAGGAAUAUUGCGCAAUGGGGGAAACCCUGACGCAGCGACGCCGCGUGAGUGAGGAAGGUUUUCGGAUCGUAAAGCUCUGUCAGAAGGGAAGAAGUGUUAUACAGUUAAUACCUGUAUAAUUUGACGGUACCUUCAGAGGAAGCACCGGCUAACUCCGUG
rnacentral:rRNA from 1 species